GCCGCUCGGCCGGUCUGCUAAGAGUGAGUCCGGUCAGGCCGGCUGCGUCCGCGCCGUUUGCUUACCACUGGAGUCAGCGCUCGACGCAGCCCGGCCGGCCGGCGGCCAAGGUUAGCUGUGAGCUGCGCCCUCCGCGGUCAGCAGUUGCUAGCGCGAGUCCGCAGGAAGAAGUCGGUGUCUUGGUGUGUUAGCGUACCUCCGUGGUUUGGCGUGAUGGAUCGUCGUUGGCGUGCCGUCUGUCCCCCGCAAGGAGUACCCGGCCUUAGAGGGCGGCAAAAAAACUGAAGCCCGUGAGGACCGCGACGAAGCGUCCCUGGAGGCCGCGGGCGCAGUGCUCGAAGUUGAGGGCGACAGCGGCUCCUGGAGGGGGGGGGGGGCGCCGACACCGAGCCAGGUCCUGCGCACGUGGCGAGGGCCCCAAACCCGAGGUCGUCCGGGCCAGUUGCGUCGUCCCGCCAAGUCGGAGCCAGGGGACCAUCUUCCGCCGGCGCCGGUGGCGUGGCGCAGGGAUCCCCACUGCGCCCCUCUGACUUCGGCCGCGCACUCGGCCUGGAGGUCCGUGAGGCCCUCGGCGUCGCUGCCGCCGCCAUCACUGUGGAUCCUCGCCCUGAGGGUGGCGAGGUGGACCAGACCGACCCAACGUGCGUCAGGAAGGGGUGGUCCCGGAAGCGGCUCGAGUGGGAGUGCCGUUGGUUCGAGGACCCUCUCGCCGCGGACGCCGACGAAGUGGGGUGGGAUCUGGGCCCCAACGGGGAGCCCAUGGACGACCCCGCGCCCCCAGCAGGCGCCGAGGCGCCACCGGAGAACGCGCUGAGCUGCGCGUUGCGGCUGUGUCAGCAGGCGAUGGAGCUUGCCAUCCAGCGGCGGCUCCGUGAGGGGAGGGAUCAAGCGGGGCAGGAGUGAUGCUCCUCCUGGUAGCGUGGUUGUGGUUGUUUGAGAACGGUGAAAUAAACUGAUGCUCCG